rnacentral:rRNA from 1 species
UACAGAGGGUGCGAGCGUUAAUCGGAAUUACUGGGCGUAAAGCGCGCGUAGGCGGCUUUGCAAGUCGGAUGUGAAAUCCCACGGCUCAACCAUGGAAGUGCAUUCGAAACUGCAGGGCUAGAGUUCUGGAGAGGAAGGUGGAAUGCUUGGUGUAGAGGUGAAAUGCGCAGAUAUCAGGAGGAACACCGGUGGCGAAGGCGGAUCUCUGGGCCUUACCUGACGCUCAGGUGCGAAAGCUAGGGGAGCGAACAGG